rnacentral:lncRNA from 1 species
GGAGCAGGUGGGCACCGGAAUCCUGCUCCUGUUCUUGGGAGAAAUGCCCCUGUCAGCAGGGAGCUGCUGUGCGCCCCAUUCUGCUGGCCUGCCUGUAUUGGGGUGCUCGUCCUCCUGCAGCUGGGCCCCUGCAGUUUCUUUCCGAGGCAGCUCCUUCCAGGUGAACCGCGCACUCUGCGGGUAGGGCCUACCUCCUCGCCUGGCAGCCACUGGAGAUAAUGAAACAUCUAGAAUCAGGAGACGCAGAAAAUCUUUCCAAAAUUAAAAACAGUUUUAACUACGAGCAUUCCCUGCUAACAGCCAGCCAGGGGGGAGAUGUUUAGCCCCCCAGCCCCUCAGGAAGAUAGCCUGAGUUCCGGAGCAGAGCCCUCAGCCCCAGUGAACCUUCAGGCCAAACAGGUCUGUCUGCAGCUGGGUAGAACCUCUCGGGGUCAACUGCCCCAACCGAGGCUCAGCCAACAUCCCCAGUGGUCAGCACGGCCAGGCCACAGCCACCCCGCCUCACCUGCGUCCCCUGGCUUUGCAGGGAGCUGCGUCCCAGGCCUGUGCCGAGUGCAUUUGGCACCUGUGUUUCCUUGGAGCUCUUCUGCUUCCCAGAUUCUUCCUCCUGGGCUCCUCCCAGAAUGUGCAGGGGGUGGGGGGUCAGGACACCACCCGGUCUCAUCCUCCUGCCUCUGUCUGUCCUGGUAUAAGUGUUCGGAACUUCGUUGUGGCUCAGGCUGUUCUGACACUCCGCAGGGUACAUGGUGGCAGGCCCCUCCUGGCAUGGCUCAGAACCAGCUCUCCACCGUUCUCUCAGUGGAGGGCCCCAGCAGAGUCUUCCCCAGAGCCUCUACCACAGGGUUCCCAGCCCAGGGUCAGAGACCCACCAGGGACACAGGCAGCCUGCAAGUGUUGCCAUUUUCAAGGAACAGCUACCUUUCCUGCAUGGACAUGGGCGGGACUGCAGUGCCCUCCCCCAGCUCUCAUCUCUGGGGCGUUGGGCAUGGUGUUCGCCUUGGUCCACGCAAUGAGUCACCUUAAACACUAGGGACAGCAGCAUCUUCCCUCUCAAUAGAAAUCCUGCCCUGGCCAAUCGCUCAGAUUUCAGCUGAUUAAAGGAAAACUGGAUUUCCUCAGCAGUGGCAUUUUGGUCCUUUCUGAAAGAGAAAGGAGACACUCACUGUCCCCUGAGGACUGAAGACCUGGAAGUUAACCCAUUAGGCCCCAAGCUGUCCAUCCAUAAAUCUUUCAAUGAAUCUGACGCAGGUGCUUAAAAUAGAUUGGAAAUCAAUCCAGAGCUUAUGC